AAAUUGAAGAGUUUGAUCAUGGCUCAGAUUGAACGCUGGCGGCAGGCCUAACACAUGCAAGUCGAGCGGUAGCACAGAGAGCUUGCUCUCGGGUGACGAGCGGCGGACGGGUGAGUAAUGUCUGGGAAACUGCCUGAUGGAGGGGGAUAACUACUGGAAACGGUAGCUAAUACCGCAUAACGUCGCAAGACCAAAGUGGGGGACCUUCGGGCCUCAUGCCAUCAGAUGUGCCCAGAUGGGAUUAGCUGGUAGGUGAGGUAACGGCUCACCUAGGCGACGAUCCCUAGCUGGUCUGAGAGGAUGACCAGCCACACUGGAACUGAGACACGGUCCAGACUCCUACGGGAGGCAGCAGUGGGGAAUAUUGCACAAUGGGCGCAAGCCUGAUGCAGCCAUGCCGCGUGUGUGAAGAAGGCCUUCGGGUUGUAAAGCACUUUCAGCGGGGAGGAAGGCGAUAAGGUUAAUAACCUUGUCGAUUGACGUUACCCGCAGAAGAAGCACCGGCUAACUCCGUGCCAGCAGCCGCGGUAAUACGGAGGGUGCAAGCGUUAAUCGGAAUUACUGGGCGUAAAGCGCACGCAGGCGGUCUGUCAAGUCGGAUGUGAAAUCCCCGGGCUCAACCUGGGAACUGCAUUCGAAACUGGCAGGCUAGAGUCUUGUAGAGGGGGGUAGAAUUCCAGGUGUAGCGGUGAAAUGCGUAGAGAUCUGGAGGAAUACCGGUGGCGAAGGCGGCCCCCUGGACAAAGACUGACGCUCAGGUGCGAAAGCGUGGGGAGCAAACAGGAUUAGAUACCCUGGUAGUCCACGCUGUAAACGAUGUCGAUUUGGAGGUUGUGCCCUUGAGGCGUGGCUUCCGGAGCUAACGCGUUAAAUCGACCGCCUGGGGAGUACGGCCGCAAGGUUAAAACUCAAAUGAAUUGACGGGGGCCCGCACAAGCGGUGGAGCAUGUGGUUUAAUUCGAUGCAACGCGAAGAACCUUACCUGGUCUUGACAUCCACAGAACUUAGCAGAGAUGCUUUGGUGCCUUCGGGAACUGUGAGACAGGUGCUGCAUGGCUGUCGUCAGCUCGUGUUGUGAAAUGUUGGGUUAAGUCCCGCAACGAGCGCAACCCUUAUCCUUUGUUGCCAGCGGUUAGGCCGGGAACUCAAAGGAGACUGCCAGUGAUAAACUGGAGGAAGGUGGGGAUGACGUCAAGUCAUCAUGGCCCUUACGACCAGGGCUACACACGUGCUACAAUGGCAUAUACAAAGAGAAGCGACCUCGCGAGAGCAAGCGGACCUCAUAAAGUAUGUCGUAGUCCGGAUUGGAGUCUGCAACUCGACUCCAUGAAGUCGGAAUCGCUAGUAAUCGUAGAUCAGAAUGCUACGGUGAAUACGUUCCCGGGCCUUGUACACACCGCCCGUCACACCAUGGGAGUGGGUUGCAAAAGAAGUAGGUAGCUUAACCUUCGGGAGGGCGCUUACCACUUUGUGAUUCAUGACUGGGGUGAAGUCGUAACAAGGUAACCGUAGGGGAACCUGCGGUUGGAUCACCUCCUUACCUUAAAGAA
rnacentral:rRNA from 1 species